GCCAGGCAUGGUGGUGCCCGCCUGUAAUCCCAGCGGCUUGGGAGGCAGAGACAGAAGGAUCAUAUGAGUUCAAAGCAACUUAGUAAGACUCUGUGUCUA
rnacentral:sRNA from 1 species